GAUGAACGCUGGCGGCGUGCCUAAUACAUGCAAGUCGAGCGAACCGACGAGGAGCUUGCUCCUCCGACGUUAUCGGCGGACGGGUGAGUCACACGUGGAUAACCUACCUAUCAGACUGGGAUAACUUCGGGAAACCGUAGCUAAUACCGGAUAAUAUAUUGAACCGCAUUGUUCAAUAGUGAAAGACGGUUUUGCUGUCACUUAUAGAUUGAUCCGCCCCGCAUCAGCUAGUUGGUAAGGUAACGGCUUACCAACGCGACGAUGCGGAGCCGACCCAAGGGGGUGAUCGGCCACCAGGGAGCUGAGACAGGGUCCAGACUCCGACGGGAGGCAGCAGCAGGGAAUCUUCCGGGAGGGGCGAAAGGGGGACGGAGCAAAGCCGCGUAAGUGAUGAAGGUGUUCGGAUCGGUGAGCGAUGUUGUUAGGGAGGUGCAAAUGUGUAAGUAACUAUGCACAUCUUGACAGUACCGAGACAAAAAGCCACGGCUAACUACGUG
rnacentral:rRNA from 1 species